rnacentral:rRNA from 1 species
AACGAACGCUGGCGGCAUGCCUAACACAUGCAAGUCGAACGAGACCUUCGGGUCUAGUGGCGCACGGGUGCGUAACGCGUGGGAACCUGCCCUUAGGUUCGGAAUAACUCCCCGAAAGGGGUGCUAAUACCGGAUAAUGUCUUCGGACCAAAGAUUUAUCGCCUUUGGAUGGGCCCGCGUUGGAUUAGCUAGUUGGUAGGGUAAAAGCCUACCAAGGCGACGAUCCAUAGCUGGUCUGAGAGGAUGACCAGCCACACUGGGACUGAGACACGGCCCAGACUCCUACGGGAGGCAGCAGUGGGGAAUAUUGGACAAUGGGCGAAAGCCUGAUCCAGCAAUGCCGCGUGAGUGAUGAAGGCCUUAGGGUUGUAAAGCUCUUUUACCCGGGAUGAUAAUGACAGUACCGGGAAAAUAAGCUCCGGCUAACUCCGUG